rnacentral:rRNA from 1 species
GAUGAACGCUAGCGGCAGGCUUAAUACAUGCAAGUCGUGGGGCAGCAGGUCCCGUAGCAAUACGGGAUGCUGGCGACCGGCAAACGGGUGCGGAACACGUACACAACCUUCCUUUAAGUGGGGGAAUAGCCCGGGGAAACCCGGAUUAAUACCCCGUAACAUUAUGAUGUGGCAUCACAUUAUAAUUAUAGCUCCGGCGCUUAAUGAUGGGUGUGCGGCUGAUUAGGUAGUUGGCGGGGUAACGGCCCACCAAGCCUACGAUCAGUAACUGGUGUGAGAGCACGACCAGUCACACGGGCACUGAGACACGGGCCCGGACUCCUACGGGAGGCAGCAGUAAGGAAUAUUGGGCAAUGGACGCAAGUCUGACCCAGCCAUGCCGCGUGGAGGAUG